rnacentral:rRNA from 1 species
CUGCAGUCGAGCGAGGGCUCACUUCCCGCAAGGGAGAUGAGUUCCUAGCGGCGAACGGGUGAGUAACACGUGGGCAACCUUUCCUAUCGCGGGGGAUAACAGCGGGAAACCGCUGCUAAUACCGCAUGUCGUCACCGGUCGCAUGGCCGGUGAAGAAAGCAGCAAUGCACGAUGGGGUGGGCCCGCGGCCUAUCAGCUAGUCGGUGGGGUAACGGCCUACCGAGGCGAUGACGGGUAGCUGGUCUGAGAGGACGACCAGCCACACGGGGACUGAGACACGGCCCCGACUCCUACGGGAGGCAGCAGUGAGGAAUCUUCCGCAAUGGGCGAAAGCCUGACGGAGCGACGCCGCGUGUGGGAUGAAGUCCUUCGGGAUGUAAACCACUGUUGGAGGGGAAGACAUCGACGGUACCCUCCGAGAAAGCCCCAGCUAACUACGUGCCAGCAGCCGCGGUAAUACGUAGGGGGCGAGCGUUAUCCAGAUUUACUGGGCGUAAAGCGCGUGUAGGCGGCUGGUUAAGUGUGAUGUGAAAUCCUCGGGCUCAACCCGAGAACUGCAUUGCAAACUAGCCUGGCUAGAGUGCAGGAGAGGGAAGCGGAAUUCCAGGUGUAGCGGUGAAAUGCGUAGAUAUCUGGAGGAACACCAGUGGCGAAGGCGGCUUCCUGGCCUGUAACUGACGCUGAGACGCGAAAGCGUGGGGAGCGAACCGGAUUAGAUACCCGGGUAGUCCACGCCCUAAGCGUUGCGAACUAGGUGUUGGUCGGAUUGACCCGAUCAGUGCCGCAGCUAACGCAUUAAGUUCGCCGCCUGGGGUACGGCCGCAGGUUAAAACUCAAAGGAAUAGGCGGGGGCCC